UCGAGGAUCUUUUGCAAUGCACGAAAGUGUGACAAAGCGACGCUGCGUGGAGGAUGAAGGCCUUCGGGUCGUAAACUCCUGUCAUCCGGGAACAAUGAUUUCCAUAUUAAUACUGUGGAAAGUUGAUAGUACCGGAAGAGGAAGCCACGGCUAACUCUGUGCCAGCAGCCGCGGUAAUACAGAGGUGGCGAGCGUUGUUCGGAUUUACUGGGCGUAAAGGGUGCGUAGGUGGUUCCGUGUGUCGGUUGUGAAAUCCCGCUGCUCAAUGGUGGAACGGCAAUCGAAACUGCGGAACUUGAGUGCAUGAGGGGAGAGGGGAAUUCUUGGUGUAGCGGUGAAAUGCGUUGAUAUCAAGAAGAACACCGGUGGCGAAGGCGCCUCUCUGGAAUGUUACUGACACUGAGGCACGAAAGCUGGGGGAGCAAACAGG
rnacentral:rRNA from 1 species